rnacentral:rRNA from 1 species
UGAGGAAUAUUGGUCAAUGGACGAGAGUCUGAACCAGCCAAGUAGCGUGAAGGAUGACUGCCCUAUGGGUUGUAAACUUCUUUUAUACGGGAAUAAAGUGAGGCACGUGUGCCUUUUUGUAUGUACCGUAUGAAUAAGGAUCGGCUAACUCCGUGCCAGCAGCCGCGGUAAUACGGAGGAUCCGAGCGUUAUCCGGAUUUAUUGGGUUUAAAGGGAGCGUAGGCGGACGCUUAAGUCAGUUGUGAAAGUUUGCGGCUCAACCGUAAAAUUGCAAUUGAUACUGGGUGUCUUGAGUACAGUAGAGGCAGGCGGAAUUCGUGGUGUAGCGGUGAAAUGCUUAGAUAUCACGAAGAACUCCGAUUGCGAAGGCAGCUUGCUGGACUGUAACUGACGCUGAUGCUCGAAAGUGUGGGUAUCAAACAGGAUUAGAUACCCUGGUAGUCCACACAGUAAACGAUGAAUACUCGCUGUUUGCGAUAUACAGUAAGCGGCCAAGCGAAAACGUUAAGUAUUCCACCUGGGGAGUACGCCGGCAACGGUGAAACUCAAAGGAAUUGACGGGGGCCCGCACAAGCGGAGGAACAUGUGGUUUAAUUCGAUGAUACGCGAGGAACCUUACCCGGGCUUGAAUUGCAACUGAAUGAUGUGGAGACAUGUCAGCCGCAAGGCAGUUGUGAAGGUGCUGCAUGGUUGUCGUCAGCUCGUGCCGUGAGGUGUCGGCUUAAGUGCCGUAACGAGCGCAACCCUUAUCGAUAGUUACCAUCAGGUUAUGCUGGGGACUCUGUCGAGACUGCCGUCGUAAGAUGUGAGGAAGGUGGGGAUGACGUCAAAUCAGCACGGCCCUUACGUCCGGGGCUACACACGUGUUACAAUGGGGGGUACAGAAGGCAGCUACACGGCGACGUGAUGCUAAUCCCUAAAGCCUCUCUCAGUUCGGAUUGGAGUCUGCAACCCGACUCCAUGAAGCUGGAUUCGCUAGUAAUCGCGCAUCAGCCACGGCGCGGUGAAUACGUUCCC